CGUCAGGGGUAAACCUNAGAAACCCNAAAGGUCGAAUGGGGAAAUUCAUUCRCGUUUCNAACGUCGGSNCCGGGUYRACGNCGAGACGGGCNCGGCGUUCGCRCCACGCUCGCUCCGUCGUCCGGCGCGCCCGGCGUCGAACGCGUGCACUUUUCCCCUAGUAGGACGUCGUGAUCCGUUGGACGUCGGUCUACGGCCCGCCGGUUAGCCCGUCCGGGGUAAACGCUUCGCGGCGUCCCGGGCGGACCGGCGGUGUCCCGGCCGGCUCGUCCGACGGUAAGAAUUAGGCGCGGGGCCGCUACCACUCGGUUAGCGUCCGGCCCGCCGCAAGCACGUCCGGCGUUCGGCACGGCGAUCGRACCCGGUGCCGGUCCCGUCCCCCGGCGACUGUUGGCGGCGGAGCUCUCGGACAGACCUCCGUUAAACGCCGAUCGACGACGCUAUAGCUNNNNNNNNNNNNNNNNNNNNNNNNNNNNNNNGGACCAAGGAGUCUAGCAUGUGCGCGAGUCAUUGGGACAUUACUAAACCUAAAGGCGCAAUGAAAGUAAAGGUCCGCCUCGCGCGGACCGAGGGAGGAUGAGCGGUUUGCCCUUAAAGUGGCCGCUCCGCACUCCCGGGGCGUCUCGUUCUCAUCGCGAGAAGAGGCGCACCAAGAGCGUACACUCUGGGACCCGAAAGAUGGUGAACUAUGCCUGGUCAGGACGAAGUCAGGGGAAACCCUGAUGGAGGUCCGUAGCGAUUCUGACGUGCAAAUCGAUCGUCGGAACUGGGUAUAGGGGCAAAAGACUAAUCGAACCAUCUAGUAGCUGGUUCCCUCCGAAGUUUCCCUCAGGAUAGCUGGCGCUCGUUGCGCACGAGUCUCAUCCGGUAAAGCGAAUGAUUAGAGGCAUUGGGGUCGAUACGACCUCAACCUAUUMUCACACUUUAAAUGGGUGAGAUCUCCGGCUUGCUCGAACUUAUGAAGCCGAGAGACACGGAUCAGAGUGCCAAGUGGGCCAUUUUUGGUAAGCAGAACUGGCGCUGUGGGAUGAACCAAACGCCGAGUUAAAGCGCCUAAAUCGACGCUUAUGGGAUACCAUGAAAGGCGUUGGUAACUUAAGACAGCAGGACGGUGGCCAUGGAAGUCGGAAU
rnacentral:rRNA from 1 species